UAGGGAAUCUUCGGCAAUGGACGGAAGUCUGACCGAGCAACGCCGCGUUAGUGAAGAAGGUUUUCGGAUCGUAAAGCUCUGUUGUUAGAGAAGAACGUUGGUAGGAGUGGAAAAUCUACCAAGUGACGGUAACUAACCAGAAAGGGACGGCUAACUACGUGCCAGCAGCCGCGGUAAUACGUAGGUCCCGAGCGUUGUCCGGAUUUAUUGGGCGUAAAGCGAGCGCAGGCGGUUCUUUAAGUCUGAAGUUAAAGGCAGUGGCUUAACCAUUGUACGCUUUGGAGACUGGAGGACUUGAGUGCAGAAGGGGAAAGUGGAAUUCCAUGUGUAGCGGUGAAAUGCGUAGAUAUAUGGAGGAACACCGGUGGCGAAAGCGGCACUCUGGUCUAUAACUGACGCUGAGGCUCGAAAGCGUGGGGAGCAAACAGG
rnacentral:rRNA from 1 species